UACGGAGGGGGCUAGCGUUGUUCGGAAUGACUGGGCGUAAAGCGCGCGUAGGCGGAUCAUCAAGUCGGGGGUGAAAUCCCGGGGCUCAACCCCGGAACGGCCUUCGAGACUGGUGGUCUUGAGUUCGAGAGAGGUGGGUGGAAUUCCGAGUGUAGAGGUGAAAUUCGUAGAUAUUCGGAGGAACACCAGUGGCGAAGGCGGCUCACUGGCCCGAUACUGACGCUGAGGCACGAAAGCGUGGGGAGCAAACAGG
rnacentral:rRNA from 1 species